AAGAAAGAAAAAGUGUAGAAUAAUCAUGCUAAAAGACAAAAGAGAAAAGCAAAAAACAAAAGGAAAUAAGAAUAUGGGACAAGCCCAACCGGUCUUCCCUUCUCUUUUUUCUUUCACUUUUCUUUCUUUCUCUCCCUCUCUCCUCACAUGCACGCACUUCUCUCCCUCCCACUUCUUCUCUCUCUUCCUUUUCUCCUUCUUUUUCUCUUUUCCCCUUUUCUCUCCCCCUGUUUCACGGCAGCAGCAGCCCCCACCAAUUCUUUUCUCUUCUUCCUCCCUUCUCCCUUGUCACGCACGCACAGCAGCUCAUUUCUUUUCCUUUCCUUUCCUUCUUCCUCUCUUCGUCUCUACCACGCCCACACACGCACAGUGAGCCCAUGUGAGAGACGAACCCGUGAGAGUGAGAGAGACCUGGAACUCAUUUCCGGUGGGUGUCGCCGGUGAUCAGUGGCGCGAUUUCCGGCCAUGCUUUGGAUCAUGUUCGGAUUGGAGACUUUAAUUGGUUCUCCAAUGUAGAGUCCAAGUGACUAGAGUCCAAGGAGUGUUCAAGUUGGAGUCCAAUGCAGCAAGAUGAUGUUUCUUUGGCUGCAGGUACUUCGGUAUAGUCGAUGGGUCGAUAGCAGUGUGCUUGGGAUAUUAUGACUGAAGCUCGCCGCGACAGUUAUAAUGGUCGGACCACGGGUUGUCCACUAUUUUAUAGGUUUGGAUCAUGUUCGGAUUGGAGACUUUAAUUGGUUCUCCAAUGUAGAGCCCAAGUGACUAGAGUCCAAGGAGUGUUCGAGUUGGAGUCCAAUGCAGCCAAGAUGAUGUUUCUUUGGCUGCAGGUACUUCGGUAUAGUCGAUGGGUCGGUAGCAGUGUGCUUGGGAUAUUAUGACUGAAGCUCGCCGCGACAGUUGUAAUUGUCGGACCACGAGUUGUCCACUAUUUUAUAGGUUUGGUAUGGCUUGUGACGUUUGUGUCACUUAUUCUUUGUUAAGCCAUUAUUAUUAUAGUGUUAAUAAGACUCAAACAAAUAGAUGUUAAAUGGCUCUUUGUUGUAAUUAACUUGUGAUAGAUGUAUAAGUUGUAAUUUCUACUA